rnacentral:rRNA from 1 species
GAUGAACGCUGGCGGCGUGCUUAACACAUGCAAGUCGAACGGUGAAGCAGGAGCUUGCUCUUGUGGAUCAGUGGCGAACGGGUGAGUAACACGUGAGAAACCUGCCCCUGACUCUGGGAUAAGCGCUGGAAACGGCGUCUAAUACUGGAUAUGUGAUGUGACCGCAUGGUCUGCAUCUGGAAAGAAUUUCGGUUGGGGAUGGGCUCGCGGCCUAUCAGCUUGUUGGUUAGGUAAUGGCUCACCAAGGCGUCGACGGGUAGCCGGCCUGAGAGGGUGACCGGCCACACUGGGACUGAGACACGGCCCAGACUCCUACGGGAGGCAGCAGUGGGGAAUAUUGCACAAUGGGCGGAAGCCUGAUGCAGCAACGCCGCGUGAGGGAUGACGGCCUUCGGGUUGUAAACCUCUUUUAGCAGGGAAGAAGCGAAAGUGACGGUACCUGCAGAAAAAGCACCGGCUAACUACGUGCCAGCCGCCGCGGUAA